rnacentral:tRNA from 1 species
GGAGGGGGCUUCCGGUGUGGCGCACCGGACCCGCUUUAGGUGCGGUGGACCCAUGUGCCCCAUGGAGAUCGGUUCGAUUCCGGCCCCCUCCG